GAGAGUUAAACAGUACGUGAAAUUGUUGAAAGGGAAACGAUUGAAGUCAGUCAUACCAACGGGAAAUCAACCUCUUGAGUUUGGUCUCGUGGGUUUCGAAGAGUUUUAAAAGCCUUCGGAUUUUCGAGAUUGGGCUCUUCUGGUGUACUUUCUCGUACGGUUAGUCAACAUCGGUUUUGAAUGUCAUAAAAUGACUGGAGGAAUGUGGCUUCGAUCUCGUAUUGAAGUGUUAUAGCCUUUGGUAGAUGUGAUGUUCGAGACCGAGGAUUGCAACGGAUACCCUUCUGGGCUAUUCGUCUGAUCUCUGAAACGUUGCCUUGAUGUCGAAAGCUUGCUUAUGAUGUUAAGGGUAUUACGGUCAAAAGGUUAGAACGGAUUAAAUUCGUUAAGGAUGUUGACGUAAUGACUUUAAACGA
rnacentral:rRNA from 1 species